rnacentral:tRNA from 1 species
CGCGGGGUGGAGCAGUGGCCGCUCGUCGGGCUCAUAACCCGGAGGUCGGCGGUUCGAAUCCGUCCCCCGCUA